UGUAGUAAAAUAGAAUGAGUGUGAUUAAUUGAAAGGGGGUUACCACAAUUUUCACGGCCCCAACAGAUGUGAAAGGUGAAUAUAAUCCCUAAAUCAUCCAUUCCCACUUCUCUUUCAAUCUUUCUAUGCACUUGAGUACUUACGAGAAUUAGGAAUUUGCAACUUCAGGUUUGGAUUCUUCGGGAAGAUGGUGUUUAUCUCCUCUGAUUCACUACCAACUCUUACUCUUUUAUCCUAAUGUGAUGCUCUCAAUUGAUUGAAUGCAGUCUAUACUUAUAGCAAGGAAGGGAGGGCACAUGCACAAUAAUGAGAGGAUUCUCCCAUUAAAGCGUUGGAGCAAUAACGCUUAGGUGCUGUAUGCUAUAAAUUCAAAUGUAUUUAUUGCUUGAUUUAAGCACAUGUAAUUGCUUUGUAUUAUUUCAAUGGUUCCAAUUAUUGUAGUGUUAAUUCAAAUGCUCAAUCACUAUUUGAAUUAAGCAUAUGACCAACGGCCUGAGUUAUUGUACCGUAGUGCAAAUUUUGU